rnacentral:rRNA from 1 species
UACGGGGGGGGCUAGCGUUGUUCGGAAUUACUGGGCGUAAAGGGCGCGUAGGCGGCCUACUAAGUCGGACGUGAAAUCCCUUGGCUUAACCGGGGAACUGCGCCCGAUACUGGUUGGCUUGAGUUUGGGAGAGGGAUGCGGAAUUCCAGGUGUAGCGGUGAAAUGCGUAGAUAUCUGGAGGAACACCGGUGGCGAAGGCGGCAUCCUGGACCAAUACUGACGCUGAGGAGCGAAAGCCAGGGGAGCAAACGGG